GGCCUUGGAGUCGAGUCAGGGUUGCCAAAUGCCAGAUGCUGGUCACCUGCUUCUUUAUCUUGGUAACAGCUGCUGGGCCUCUCUGUGGCCACCAUGGUGACUCUUACCUACUUCGGGGCCCACUUUGCUGUCAUCCGCCGAGCAUCCCUGGAGAAGAACCCGUACCAGGCUGUGCACCAAUGGGCCUUCUCUGCGGGGUUGAGCCUGGUGGGCCUCCUGACUCUGGGAGCCGUGCUGAGCGCUGUAGCCACCGUGAAGGAGGCCCAGGGCCUCAUGGCGGGGGGCUUCCUGUGCUUCUCCCUGGCGUUCUGCACACAGGUGCAGGUGGUGUUCUGGAGACUCCACAGCCCCACCCAGGUGGAGGACGCCAUGCUGGACACCUACGACCUGGUAUAUGAGCAGGCGAUGAAAGGCACGUCCCACGUCCGGCGGCAGGAGCUGGCGGCCAUCCAGGACGUGUUUCUGUGCUGUGGGAAGAGGUCUCCUUUCAGCCGUCUGGGGAGCACAGAGGCUGACCUGUGUCAGGGAGAGGAGGCGGCGAGAGAGGUGAGGGGGGGACCUGGAUGCUGGCCAGGCAAGACCCUCGGGGGCUGGACACCCUGGGGCCCAACCCCAAGACCCAGGGCCAUCCUCCCACCCCA
rnacentral:sRNA from 1 species